AAUUAUCUAUUAUCAUUUGUAACAAUUGGAGCUCUUAUGUGCUCUAAAUGUUGUCAAUUGGGACCAAUAGAGUAACCAGUGAACUCUGAAGAGAUUAAUUAUUAAUAAAGAGACAGGCCAAUAUUAAUAAGUACAAGAGAGGACAUUUUGGUAACAUUAAUAAUUGGUCAAUUGGUGCUGGAAGAUAAAAUAUCAAUUGAGAUAUUUUAUGAUACUAAUUAAUAUUAUAUAUUAUAUAUAUUAUAUAGUAUAUG
rnacentral:lncRNA from 1 species